rnacentral:rRNA from 1 species
CCUACGGGAGGCAGCAGUGAGGAAUAUUGGUCAAUGGGCGCGAGCCUGAUCCAGCCAAGUAGCGUGAGGGAUGACUGCCCUACGUGCUGUAAGCUUCUUUUAUAAGGGAAUAAAGUGAGGCACGUGUGCCUUUUUCUAUGUACUUUAUGAUUACGGCUCGGCUAACUCCGUGCCAGCAGCCGCGGUAAUACGGAGGGUCCGAGCGUUAUCCGGAUUUAUUGGGUGUAAAGGGAGCGUAGAUGGGUUGGUAAGUCAGGUGUGAAAUUUUGCGGCUUAACCGUGGAACUGCAAUUGAUACUGGGCAGCUGGAGUGCAGGUGAGGGAAGCGGAAUUCGUGGUGUAGCGGUGAAAUGCGUAGAUAUCACGAAGAACACCGAUUGCGAAGGCAGCUUACUAAACUGUCACUGACAUUGAGGCUCGAAAGCGUGGGGAGCAAACAGGAUUAGAUACCCGAGUAGUC